rnacentral:rRNA from 1 species
GCAAAACGCGAAGAACCUUACCUAGACUUGACAUCUCCUGAAUUACCCGUAACUGGGGAAGCUCUUCGGAGCAGGAAGACAGGUGGUGCAUGGUUGUCGUCAGCUCGUGUCGUGAGAUGUUGGGUUAAGUCCCGCAACGAGCGCAACCCUUAUUGUUAGUUGCUACCAUUAAGUUGAGCACUCUAGCGAGACUGCCGGGGUUAACUCGGAGGAAGGUGGGGAUGACGUCAAAUCAUCAUGCCCCUUAUGUCUAGGGCUACACACGUGCUACAAUGGCGAGUACAACAAGACGCUAAGCCGCGAGGUGGAGCAAAACUGUAAAACUCGUCCCAGUUCGGAUUGUAGGCUGAAACUCGCCUACAUGAAGCCGGAGUUGCUAGUAAUCGCGAAUCAGCAUGUCGCGGUGAAUACGUUCCCGGGUCUUGUACACACCG